AUGAAUAAUGUACACUUUCAGAUCGGUGAUAUUAAGAAGGCUUUAUCUAAAUUUUCCCGUGACAGACGAAAGAGGAUUAUAUCGCUUAAAAGACAAAACAAAAUAUAUCUUAACACAAGUUCACAAGUUUCAACCGCUAUACCAUUAACAGAUAUUUCAAAUGGUAAUCUAUUCUUUAUAUCAUGUAUGUUGGUAUUUU
rnacentral:lncRNA from 1 species